ensembl:lncRNA
AUAGGGAAAGAACAAUUGGCCAAGAUGGUGGCGGUCAGGUUCCCUCACCCCAACGGCUUCUUGCUCUUGCCCUGCGUUUUGUAAAUAAUGAUUUUGUAAGAGCUGAGAUCAUUUAUAGCACUGCACAUGCGCAUAACCUAUAUAAGCACCACCUGACAAGUCCUUGCAGCUGCAUCCACUGGGUCAACCAAGAGGAAACGUAGCACGUCUGCUGCUGCCGCCGCCUUGCUGCUGCGAAUAAAGAAUGCCUGUAGUUCCUAUGGCUCCUUGCAUCUUCUUCCAUCUUCCCAUCUGCUUCCCAGCUCCCGCCUUGCUACCCUGGGUUCAGCGAACAGCGAGACAGGCAGCUACUCACAUGAGCUGAGGCAGUAGAAACCAAAGAUCAUGGCAUCUGGUCCCAUCACUUCAUGGCAAAUAGAUGGGGAAACAAUGGAAACAGUGAGAGACUUCAUUUUCUUGGGCUUCAAAAUCACUGCAGAUGGUGACUGUAGCCAUGAAAUUAAAAGACGCUUACUCCUUGGAAGAAAAGCUAUGACCAACCUAGACAAUGUAUUAUAAAGCAGAGACAUUACUUGGCUAACAAAGGUUCAUCUAGUCAAAACUGUGGCUUUUCCGGUAGUCAUGUAUGAAUGUGAGAGUUGGACUAUAAAGAAAGCUGAGUGCCGAAGAAUUAAUGCUUUUGAACUGUGGUGUUGGAGAAGACUCUUGAGAGUUCCUUCGACUGCAAGGAGACCCAACCAGUCUAUCCAAAGGAAAGCAGUCCUGAAUAUUCAGUGGAAGGACUGAUGCUGAACCUGAAACUCCAGUACUUUGGCCACCUGAUGCAAAGAACUGACUCAUUGAAAAAGACCCGGAUGCUGAGAGAGAUUGAAGGCAGGAGGAGAAGGGGAGGGCAGAGGAUGAGAUGGUUGGAUGGCAUCACUGACUCGAUGGACAUGGGUUUGAGCAAGCUCCAGGAGUUGGUGAUGAGCAGGAAAGCUGCAGUCCAUGGGGUUGCAAAGAGUUGGAUGUGACUGAGCGACUGGACUGAACUGAUCUAUAAUAACCAGCCCAAGAAGCCAGCCUGCUAUAAGCCAUACUUGCAGGAAGCCAUACAGCGACGUCUAGGGACAAUCCAGGACAAUUGACCCCAAAUGGGCUGGACUUGAUUAAUAACUUACUACUUCCCUUAAUUUUCUCACUGCUUCCAAUUUAGGACCAGGUGGACAAAGCUGAAUGAAUAUGAUCCCCUAACCAAUCACAUAGGCUGUCCCUGUUCUAGUUAGCUGCCUCCAGCUUCCGCAUCAACAGUCUGUAAUCGGGUCAUACCUAAAGGCUUCCGUUUAUCCCCGAAACACCCCCACUCCUCUGAUGAAAAUGGCAGUGACGACUCACUGCCUGCAGCGACCUCUGAGAGGCUUUUGCCUCCUCCCUUUGCUCGAUCUUCCUUUAUUUCCACACGGCGGUCAUACCAGGAAGAGAACUAGAACCUUUGGCCCCAUCUACCCCUGCCUUCCUCUUGGCCACUGAGGGUUCUAGCAAAAAGAAAAAAAAAAAAAUCAGAAGGCAGGGAUGCCUGAAGGAGCAAAGGACCGUCACCUCCGGCCUCUCCCUUUUUCUGUCCUUUCAAAUCCUGUUUUGUGACAUUUCUCCUGUGGUUGACCACAUAAAAGAGAAUUUUCAUGAUAUAUAAACUCCGUGUAACUUCAGCCUGGUGCCUCUGCUGGCAGUGUGUUUAGAUGUACAUUUCCAGUGAGUUUUGUGGCUUGUAAGCUGGAAAAUUGCUGGGGUUAGGCCAUGGGUAUGGAGUCAAAAUUCCCUUUGAGAGCAAUAGUGUAUGAG